rnacentral:rRNA from 1 species
GACGAACGCUGGCGGCGUGCCUAAUACAUGCAAGUCGAGCGAACAGACGAGGAGCUUGCUCCUCUGACGUUAGCGGCGGACGGGAGAGAAACACGUGGAUAACCUACCUAUAAGACUGGGAUAAUUUCGGGAAACCGGAGCUAAUACCGGAUAACUUAUUGAACCGCAUGGUUCAAUAGUGAAAGACGGUUUUGCUGUCACUAAUAGAUGGCUCCGCGCCGCAUUAGCUAGUUGGUAAGGUAACGGCUUACCAAGGCAACGGUGCGUAGCCGACCUGAGAGGGUGAUCGGCCACACUGGAACUGAGACACGGUCCAGACUCCGACGGGAGGCAGCAGUAGGGAAUCUUCCGCAAUGGACGAAAGCUUGACGGAGCAACGCCGCGUGAGUGAUGAAGGUCUUCGGAUCGUAAAACUCUGUUGUUAGGGAAGAACAAAUGUGUAAGUAACUGUGCACAUCUUGACGGUACCUAAUCAGAAAGCCACGGCUAACUACGUG